UACAGAGGGGGCAAGCGUUAUUCGGAAUUAUUGGGCGUAAAGGGCGCGUAGGCGGCCUGGCAAGUGGAAGGUGCAAUCCCUCGGCCCAACCGAGGAACUGCGCCCGAGACUGCUUCUCUUGAGUCCCGGAGAGGAAGAUGGAAUUCCCGGUGUAGCGGUGAAAUGUGUAGAGAUCGGGAGGAACACCGGUGGCGAAGGCGGUCUUCUGGACGGUGACUGACGCUGAGGCGCGAAAGCGUGGGGAGCAAACGGG
rnacentral:rRNA from 1 species